GCUUUCAAUUAACAGGGGAAUUCCCUGUACGAGUUUUUUUGUAUAAAAUACAUAAAAUACAUUGGUUAAAUACAUUGGUUAUAAAUACAUAAAAAUAUAUAAAAUCUACAGUUAGAAUAGAGUUGAUUUACCAUUUGGACGAAGUAUGGAUCAAACAACAGCCUCGUACAUCGCGCUUAUACGAAUACAUUGCACUAACAGCGCAUCAAAUAUUACACCAUUGCCACUGGCAACCGAUCUAUUUAUGGAAAAGGUUAGUUUGCUGACCUCUGAAUGACAUUUCGUUAAAACGUUUUACUUCAAGGUUGGUUUAGAAACAGAUUAUGGUAAUAUGGUUAGGGUUAGAGUUGGUGUUUGGAAUAGGGUUAGGGUAGGGUUAGUGUUACGUUUUGUCACGCUGAGGUCGGCGAAAUAACCUCUUCCUCUAUUUAUAGGGAGCUUUCGUUAGUCCGGAUGUAACUAUCUGAAAAAUGUAAGUAGAAAUUCGACGUUUCGAGCGAAGGCCCUUCGUCUGACUUUAGUAGCGGGAUCGGGAAAACUACAUGAGCUUUUUUGCACCAAGUUCUUUCCAGCCCACUUCGAUUAGGUGGUCGAAAACCCUGACAAAAUCGUGUUUAAACCAUGCAGUCUCCAAGCCAAGGGCAGACAUCUCUCAUAAACAUGUGUCGAUUUCUAUUAAACAAGGUAAAACUCGUAAAAGGAGGUUGAUGUCGAAAAACAUCAAUGUUGAAAAAUUUGGUGCAUUUACUGAAGUUGGAAACGAAAAUACCAUUCGCUCCGUUCCAGCUAGAGAAAAAUGGUCUGAAGCGAGUCUGUGCAACGUUGUCCUUAGGCAGGGUGUGUGGGGGGGGGGGGGGGGGGGGGGGGCAAUAUUGCAAGCUAUCAUGAGCGUGCAUAUAAAAUGAUAAUAAAAUGGCUUGUUUUGAUAAAAGUUUUGAUAAAGUUUUUACUACUAAUCUAUUACUAUUACUAUUACUAUUUGAUGGGAUAGACUGGCUUAUAUGAACAGUACUCGUACAUACAAAUGAACUAUGGCCUAUGCUGAAUUGCAAAUCCAGCCUCAGAGUUUUAACUCGUAUAUAGUCUAUUUUGGUUAAAUUUCGCGCGCACUAAUUCUUCCGUGCACAAAGCUUCGGUAGCCUUACUCCAUUGAACCAAUUCCGUGAAAUGAUAAUCGCUUGCAAGACAUUCAGCUUUCUUGGCGUAUUUAAAGGCAUUGCGCAAAAAGCGAGUUCUUUCGUCAGGACUGACUUGUGAACGUCGAUAAUUGUAAAUGGAAAGUACCAAACUGAGCUGAACUUCAUGAUACCUACUCAGUGGCUGUCCUUCAUCAGCGGAUUCAUGUACAGCCAUUAUACUCGCCCUUGCUUUAUCCAUGUCUGAAAUGUCUACAUUACCCCUGAUGCGCCGUCCACUUAUAUUACGGCCAAGGUAAAAAGUGGCCAAAGUUAUAUACGCCUUCUGCUCCAUAUCUUCAAGGACUUUGGAUUGAUCUGGAACACAUCGUAAAUGUUCCAGAGCUCUUAUUGAAAAAACAUCAGGCGAACAUGUUGGGUCUUCUGAAUUUAUCAAGUUAGUCACAGUUCCAGCAAAAACGUAUACUAUUGCUGUUACCAGGCCUGGUUCAAUCAGUUCUGCCUUGGACAAAGCUGCAGUCAAUAAUCCUCUGAGGCCUUGAAAAUCUCCACUUGCACGUUUUAGAGCUACUUGUAAGUACAAUCCCAUCACCUCGAAGAACAAGCGAUCUUCUGCUUGCGGUAAAAUGGCGUUGUACUGUUCGAGAAAGGCACGUGCUUUUGCGAAACUACCUCUACGGCAACACGCGGUGACUUGUUUGGACAAAACCAAUAACUUCA
rnacentral:lncRNA from 1 species